rnacentral:rRNA from 1 species
UCCGGAUUUAUUGGGCGUAAAGGGCUCGUAGGUGGUUGAUCGCGUCGGAAGUGUAAUCUUGGGGCUUAACCCUGAGCGUGCUUUCGAUACGGGUUGUCUUGAGGAAGGUAGGGGAGAAUGGAAUUCCUGGUGGAGCGGUGGAAUGCGCAGAUAUCAGGAGGAACACCAGUGGCGAAGGCGGUUCUCUGGGCCUUUCCUGACGCUGAGGAGCGAAAGCGUGGGGAGCGAACAGGCUUAGAUACCCUGGUAGUCCACGCUGUAAACGGUGGGUACUAGGUGUGGGGUCCAUUCCACGGGUUCCGCGCCGUAGCUAACGCUUUAAGUACCCCGCCUGGGGAGUACGGCCGCAAGGCUAAAACUCAAAGGAAUUGACGGGGCCCCGCACAAGCGGCGGAGCAUGCGGAUUAAUUCGAUGCAACGCGUAGAACCUUACCUGGGUUUGACAUGGAUCGGGAGUGCUCAGAGAUGGGUGUGCCUCUUUUGGGGUCGGUUCACAGGUGGUGCAUGGCUGUCGUCAGCUCGUGUCGUGAGAUGUUGGGUUAAGUCCCGCAACGAGCGCAACCCUUGUUCACUGCUGCCAGCACGUUAUGGUGGGGACUCAGUGGAGACCGCCGGGGUCAACUCGGAGGAAGGUGGGGAUGACGUCAAGUCAUCAUGCCCCUUAUGUCCAGGGCUUCACGCAUGCUACAAUGGCUGGUACAGAGAGUGGCGAGCCUGUGAGGGUGAGCGAAUCUCGGAAAGCCGGUCUCAGUUCGGAUUGGGGUCUGCAACUCGACCUCAUGAAGUCGGAGUCGCUAGUAA